AUAUUGUUUCAGACUGAUGUAUUAUAGGUUCAAAUCCAGUUUACUAAACUGUUCUUAGUUAGAGUCCAGCAUUACAUAGUUCUGACAAUGUAAAAAUAGUUUAGUUCACUGGCAACAGCAAAUAAUUUAAUAAAGUGCCUGGAUGAUUUUCAAACUCAUUGUCAGGUCCGAUGACGUGAGAAUGCUACUUGAGCAAAUGAGGAGGAGCACAGCCCUCAUUGCCCAGAGGCUGGAAAAUGCAGGGUCUCCUGUGUCAGAUGGUGCCAGCAAUUCCUCUAGCCCGAGUGUUUCUGCUGAGUCAAGUGGAUCUGUGGUAGCUGCAAGAUACACCAUGUCUGCACCAGUACCACAACUGCAUUGCACCCCAAUGAUGGCAUCUCAGCUUUUACACACCCCAAGUAUACCUUCUUCCUCCAGGGAUGAUAAUGUCCAAAGAGACCUGGCUCGCUUAUUUCGACCCUACAAUACUCUGAGUUGCAGUGGAAGAGGUCCUGCACAAAGAAGAAAAAAAGAAGUGCCAUGGUCACACUUUUUUUUUUGUCUGCCAGAACCUGAGACAGUGUCUGUCCCUACCAAGGAGGAGGCCCUUUAUUACGAGGAAUGCGGAAUUGGGAAGAAACUAGUCACAUUUGCCAGAAAUACAGGAGAUCACAGUUUCUUGUCGGAACAUCUUUACUCUGCAUUUCCCCUUUUGACAGAGGCUGGGGGGUUUUCUCUGGCGAAAAGUGACAGGAGGAAGCAGUUAAGUCUGCUUCCUAUUCCAGCAAGUGGAUAUUCCUUAGAAUACCUUCGAUGUAGAGUGGAAAUAAAAAGGGCUCCACUCUACAUUAUUCCCCUCCAAAGAGCAUUGACAUUACAGCCACCACACAUCGAGACCACUGCUGUGAUGGAGAGGUGCCUAUCAUGCCAGGUGAAUGUACCACUGUGUGGGCUUGCACAACACAUAAAAACAUGUGCCCAAACACAGGAAAGAGCUGAAGAAGCACAGUUGUUGUCGGAUGAAAGAACAGACAAUGAAGAUGAAGAUGCAGACCUUGCUGCUGCAAUUUUCGAGUCACUCCAGGCAGAUGUGGUAGUCCAAAUUGAAGAGCCGCCUAUUGUUCUUGAUAUUGAGCAAGGUGAACAAGAGUAAGUGACACUUUAGUUUCAUUUUAUUUCCUACCUUCUGUCAUUUAAUCAACAUUAAAUAUGCUAAAAGUGUAAUAUUUCGAAGACAUUGUUUUCUAAAUUGCAAAGUGUGGGCUAAGAAAAAUUGUUUUUUUUUUUUUACAGAAAAGAUUUGGCGUCUAUUUUGAAGGACCUCCAAAGCCAGGUGGAUGAGGGACCUGCCCCCCCUCAUAACUGCAUCCAUGUGACAAGGGAUUCUGUUUUGGACAGCGCCUUCAGGGCACUCAGAAGACAGCGCUUUAAUCCUCGCCAUCGGAUUGACAUCGUUUUUAUUGACGGCGCUGGACAAUCUGAGGGUGCUGUUGAUGACGGAGGGCCGACCAGGGAAUUUUUCAGGCUGUUAGUUGUUGCCAUUAAAGACAGCAUUUUCUUUAGUGGGAGCGAAGACGGCAAGAACUUAACACUGGUAUCUCGGGCUCUGGCUUCUGGGGAAUAUAAAUUGGUGGGGAAAAUGAUUGCGCUUGCCCUCAUUCAUGGAGGCACAAAGCCAUCAUUUUUCUCAGAAAGAUUGUAUACAGAAAUAUCUGGGCAAGACACAUCAGAUGUGACCUUGGAGGAAGUGGAUGACUGGGACGUAAAAGGCAAACUUCAAAGGAUAAUGGAUGCAACAUCCUUGGAGGAGGCACAGGAUGCUGUGGCAGAGGCCUGCGGGUUCCUGUCUUUGCUGGGUUGUGCAUCAUUUUUAUCAACCUUUGAGCAAAGACUCACCCUUGUGAAAGAGGCAGCCAGGGCUUUUGUUGUGGGGCGCACACAAGGUGCCAGAACACAGCUUGUUGAAGGCUUGGAAACCCUGGGUGUUGCGGAAGCAGUGCGAAGUAAUCCUGGGACUCUGAAAGCUUUGUUUGUUGGGGGCCAAAAACAGGUUCAGUUGGAAGAGCUCCUCGAGCUCUUCAAUGUGUCUUUUUCUGCUCCAGGAAGCAACAGGAGGCAGUUGGAAAACACUGCUUUCAUAUUUUGGAAGGACUGGCUGCUGGAGGUGGACGAGGGAAGCAGGCCAGUGACUCUAGGGCAGAUUCUUGUGUUUGCUUCAGGGACUGACACCAUUCCACCACUGGGAUUUCCCACUCGCCCAAAACUUGUUUUUUUACAUUGGGAAGGGGUUCCAAGAAUUUUUCCUGAAGCAAACACAUGUGAUGUAACCUUACGGCUGCCAUUGCACUCCAGCUACUCGGCUUUUGUGGAGCACAUGGAGUCGGGGAUAAUCCAGUCCCCCACUUUCGGCUUUGCCUAGUUCUUUCCAGAAUUGCAAAUCCUGAGGGAAUAUUUUCUUUCAUGUUAAAGACAAAUUGCAAGUUUUGUUGAAUUCUGUUAAUAAAUUUUUUUAUUGUUUAAUUAAAUCAAUAGCAUUUGUCUCUUCAUUUCCAAUUUUCAAAGGCCUUAGCAUUUAGUGCAAUUUAUUGAAUCAACUGAGUUGUUUGGGAACUGGAGUGCGGCCCCACGACCCGGUCCUGGACGAGCGGAGGAAGGUGUUUGGUAUGAAACUUUGGUAUUAGUUUAAUGAUUGCUUAUCUCUCUUUAAAGCUUCUGACAAAAUGUCAUAGAUGACUUACCUUCUCAAAUUUUAGUGGUUCGAGUAACUAACAUUAAUGGAAAUAAUGCAAAUCUUGGACUGGAUUUUAAUAUUUUCUUUGUAAUCUGUUAUGCAUUCAUUUGACCACAAAAUGGCGCUCCCAGGACCAGUGUUGUGCUCUUUUUAGCCCGUCUGAUCCUCGUUUAUCCACCCGAUUUGUGACAUGUUUGAUAAAUUUCUGUUAUUUUUAAAGACUUAAAUAAUAGUUUCAUCUCCAUAUUUAAUUGAAGCCAUACCUUGUGUAUGAAUUAUCACCCUAACCCAUAUAUAGCGCGGUCGCCAUUUUGUAGGGUUUUCCGAAUAUACAGUUUAAAAAUCUUGUGCACUAGAAAUUUCCCAGACUUUGGUUUUACUCCCAGUGCCCCCAGAAAUAUUGCUCUCCUCAUCUUUAUCAUGCCAAAUGCUCUCUCCACCACAGAGUGUGUCCUGGUUGUGACGGGCCACAUUCCUCAUGGGGUCCUUGUAGGAUGUCAGCAGCGUGAUGGGAUGUGCAAUGCAGAGAUGCCCACCAUCGCCCAAAAGGAUC